rnacentral:rRNA from 1 species
UACAGAGGUCCCAAGCGUUGUUCGGAUUCACUGGGCGUAAAGGGUGCGUAGGUGGUGAGGUAAGUCGGAUGUGAAAUCUCCGAGCUCAACUCGGAAACUGCAUUGGAAACUACCUUGCUAGAGGGUUGGAGGGGGGACUGGAAUGCUUGGUGUAGCAGUGAAAUGCGUAGAUAUCAAGCGGAACACCAGUGGCGAAGGCGAGUCCCUGGACAACUCCUGACACUGAGGCACGAAAGCUAGGGGAGCAAACAGG